AGAGCGUUUAGCUUAUCGAAUGAAUAAAAAAACAACGGGAGUUAUUAGAGCGUUUUCACUCCACCGCUGCCUUCAUCGCCAUUCUCUCUCCUCCUCCUCUCAUCCUCUCACUCUCCUUCAUCAUUGCCGCUGCCGUCCUUGCCAUUCUCUUCAAUUCCUGUGAGGUCACCAGAAAAAUUCUGAUUGAGCGAGGCGAUUUGAGGGGACUCUCUGCUCUUUCUCAAACUAGACAGCAGAGCUGCUUGUUGAUGCUUCUCAAUCAUCUGAACGACCAAUAUCUCCAACUCUCUUUGGAAUUUUCUUCGAGGAGUUGGUUUUGGUUGCUGACGGUGGGUGAGAGAAACGAAAGAGAGAGAUGGAAACCAGAAAGAAGAGUAAGAGGACGGGAAAAGAAAAGGGAGAACAGGGAGAUGAAAAGAGGAAGAAGAAAGAAAAGAGAGGGGAGGGGAGCACAACUAGUUGAAAAAGAAAGAAGAAUGAGAAGUACAAAGGGGGAGACGGAGAGGGAUUGAGAAGAGAGAAUUUGUGAGUUUGG